rfam:Atopostipes suicloacalis DSM 15692 genome assembly, contig: EJ15DRAFT_scaffold00029.29
AAGGAAGUAAGACCCCUGAAAGACGAUCAGGUAGAUAGGCUGGAAGUGGAAGUCUAGUGAUAGAUGGAGCGGACCAGUACUAAUCGGUCGAGGACUUAACCAA